UACAGAGGGUGCAAGCGUUGUUCGGAAUUAUUGGGCGUAAGGGCGCGUAGGCGGUGCGGUAAGUCCGCAGUGAAAUCUCUGGGCUCAACCUCAGAGUCUGCUGUGGAAACUGCCGUGCUUGAGUGUGGGAGAGGUGAGUGGAAUUCCCGGUGUAGCGGUGAAAUGCGUAGAUAUCAGGAGGAACACCUGUGGCGAAAGCGGCUCACUGGACCAUAACUGACGCUGAUGCACGAAAGCUAGGGGAGCAAACAGG
rnacentral:rRNA from 1 species